rnacentral:rRNA from 1 species
AGAGUUUGAUCCUGGCUCAGAAUCAACGCUGGCGGCGCGCUUAACACAUGCAAGUCGCACGAGAAAGCAGGAGCAAUCUUGUGAGUACAGUGGCGUACGGGUGAGUAACACGUGGGUAAUCUACCUCUUAGUGGGGAAUAACGCUGGGAAACCGGCGCUAAUACCGCAUAAUCUCGGGAGAGGAAAGCAGCAAUGCGCUGAGAGAGGAGCCCGCGGCCGAUUAGCUAGUUGGGAGGGUAAAAGCCUACCAAGGCAUAGAUCGGUAGCCGGCCUGAGAGGGCACACGGCCACACUGGCACUGAAACACGGGCCAGACUCCUACGGGAGGCAGCAGUGGGGAAUCUUGCACAAUGGGGGAAACCCUGAUGCAGCGACGCCGCGUGAGCGAUGAAGCCCUUCGGGGUGUAAAGCUCUUUCGUCAGGGACGAUAAUGACGGUACCUGGAGAAGCAGCUGCGGCUAACUACGUGCCAGCAGCCGCGGUAAUACGUAGGCAGCGAGCGUUGUUCGGAGUUACUGGGCGUAAAGGGUGUGUAGGCGGUUUUCUAAGUUUGGUGUGAAAUCUCCCGGCUCAACCGGGAGGGUGCGCCGAAAACUGGGAGACUAGAGUGCGGGAUGGGAGAGUAGAAUUCCUGGUGUAGCGGUGAAAUGCGUAGAUAUCAGGAGGAAUACCGGUGGUGUAGACGGCUCUCUGGACCGCCACUGACGCUGAGACACGAAAGCGUGGGUAGCAAACAGGAUUAGAUACCCUAGUAGUCC